CUUUGAAAAAUCUUCAAUGGUUUUUUUGAGACUAAAAGGGAACUCCGUGAAAAUCGGGGACGGGCCCGCCGCUGUAAUCCCAUACUUUUUUCAACAGAGAAGAGUAACAUUUUAGCAUUUUUAUGUCACUGCCCGAUAGGUACGGGGUGGGAAGGCCGCUAAAGUUGUGGGGGAGUCAGAAGACCUGCCUGAACAAGAUUUUGAGA
rnacentral:ncRNA from 2 species